CGAGACCUACGGGAGGCAGCAGUGAGGAAUAUUGGUCAAUGGUCGGGAGACUGAACCAGCCAAGCCGCGUGAGGGAUGAAGGCACAGAGUAUCGUAAACCUCUUUUGUCAGGGAACAAAGGCGGGGACGCGUCCCCGGAUGAGUGUACCUGAAGAAAAAGCAUCGGCUAACUCCGUGCCAGCAGCCGCGGUAAUACGGAGGAUGCGAGCGUUAUCCGGAUUUAUUGGGUUUAAAGGGUGCGCAGGCGGUCUGUUAAGUCAGCGGUCAAAGCCCGGGGCUCAACCCCUGCCCGCCGUUGAAACCGG
rnacentral:rRNA from 1 species